UAUUUUAGCCAGGCGCGCAGAAAUCCCCAGACCGACGAGCAGUGCCCAAUCGAUACGAGCAAUCCGGCGGAUACAUAUACACACACACACACACACACGCAUGCACAGUCACACACACACAGAGAGUAGCGGUCACAGAUACGGAACACACAAGCACAGGCACAGAUACAGAUACAGAUACUGAGUUCAGUUCGGUUUCUGCUUCUUUUAUUCGUCGCAACUUUGGUUGGUGGUU
ensembl:ncRNA lncRNA:CR45297 long non-coding RNA:CR45297